AAAAGAUUGCUAGAACGAGAGAUAUCGCACCGGUAUAAGAAAACUAGAUGAGGUUAGAACCUCGAAAUAAUUGAAGGAUUGAAAACCAGAACUUCUGAAAUAUCUUUCACACUCCGGAUAGAAAGAGAGAGGAUUUAAUAACAAGAUAGUCUGAAAAGAAUUUCCAACAUGGGAAAGAAUUUACAAGGAUGAAAAGGAUAUGAUGAACACGGAUAAUUAAAUUGAAUUCACCGGAAAAGAUAAGAAGAUUGAAUACAGAUGAGCACGAAGCUCGUGAAAAUCUUCACAACGAAUCACCGGAUACGACACGGAAGAAAAGAUAGCGG
rnacentral:lncRNA from 1 species